CCUACGGGAUGCACCAGUGGGGAAUAUUGGACAAUGGGCGCAAGCCUGAUCCAGCAAUGCCGCGUGUGUGAAGAAGGCCUUCGGGUUGUAAAGCACUUUUAUCAGGAACGAAAUACCACGGGUUAAUACCCUAUGGGGCUGACGGUACCUGAGGAAUAAGCACCGGCUAACUUCGUGCCAGCAGCCGCGGUAAUACGAAGGGUGCAAGCGUUAAUCGGAAUUACUGGGCGUAAAGCGUGCGUAGGCGGUUUGUUAAGUCUGCUGUGAAAGCCCUGGGCUCAACCUGGGAAUGGCAGUGGAAACUGGCGAGCUAGAGUGUGAUAGAGGAUGGUGGAAUUCCCGGUGUAGCGGUGAAAUGCGUAGAGAUCGGGAGGAACAUCAGUGGCGAAGGCGGCCAUCUGGAUCGACACUGACGCUGAGGCACGAAAGCGUGGGGAGCAAACAGGAUUAGAUACCCGUGUAGUC
rnacentral:rRNA from 1 species